AAAGACAAUGCCUUGCUGUGGGGACUAUGCACCAUUACAGGGGGCGGUGCGGAGAUGCAGAAAAAGUUGUAUCUUAAACCUAUUAAUAUGAGUCAUUUUCCAGAGACUACAAAGAAUAUAUGCCGGUGAACUCCUGACAUCUUACCUUUGCCUCAUCAAUGGGAUGUUGAUGCAAUUUGCAGCGGCUACAGCAGCGAACGGAACAAAGCGU